AUAACUUUCUCGGCCUUCUGGCUAAGAUCAAGUGUAGUAUCUGUUCUUAUUAGUUUAAUAUCCGAUAUGUGGGCCGCCGGCUCACUCUUUAUUUAAUUAAUAAUUUUUUGAGGGUGAGGGUCUUUUACAGUAGCUCGCUACUGGCUGGGGCCUAUCAUGCGUUGCCUUGGUAUCGCACUAUUGCCUUGGCUUGGCGGACCUCAC